UGUUGGAACCAUUCAAAACAGCAUAGCAAGUUAAAAUAAGGCUAGUCCGUUAUCAACUUGAAAAAGUGGCACCGAGUCGGUGCUUUUUUU
rfam:Streptococcus pyogenes M1 GAS, complete genome.